CGGUGAACACGGAGCUUGCUCUGUGGGAUCAGUGGCGAACGGGUGAGUAACACGUGAGCAACCUGCCCCUGACUCUGGGAUAAGCGCUGGAAACGGCGUCUAAUACUGGAUAUGUGACGUGACCGCAUGGUCUGCGUCUGGAAAGAAUUUCGGUUGGGGAUGGGCUCGCGGCCUAUCAGCUUGUUGGUGAGGUAAUGGCUCACCAAGGCGUCGACGGGUAGCCGGCCUGAGAGGGUGACCGGCCACACUGGGACUGAGACACGGCCCAGACUCCUACGGGAGGCAGCAGUGGGGAAUAUUGCACAAUGGGCGCAAGCCUGAUGCAGCAACGCCGCGUGAGGGACGACGGCCUUCGGGUUGUAAACCUCUUUUAGCAGGGAAGAAGCGAAAGUGACGGUACCUGCAGAAAAAGCGCCGGCUAACUACGUGCCAGCAGCCGCGGUAAUACGUAGGGCGCAAGCGUUAUCCGGAAUUAUUGGGCGUAAAGAGCUCGUAGGCGGUUUGUCGCGUCUGCUGUGAAAUCCGGAGGCUCAACCUCCGGCCUGCAGUGGGUACGGGCAGACUAGAGUGCGGUAGGGGAGAUUGGAAUUCCUGGUGUAGCGGUGGAAUGCGCAGAUAUCAGGAGGAACACCGAUGGCGAAGGCAGAUCUCUGGGCCGUAACUGACGCUGAGGAGCGAAAGGGUGGGGAGCAAACAGGCUUAGAUACCCUGGUAGUCCACCCCGUAAACGUUGGGAACUAGUUGUGGGGUCCAUUCCACGGAUUCCGUGACGCAGCUAACGCAUUAAGUUCCCCGCCUGGGGAGUACGGCCGCAAGGCUAAAACUCAAAGGAAUUGACGGGGACCCGCACAAGCGGCGGAGCAUGCGGAUUAAUUCGAUGCAACGCGAAGAACCUUACCAAGGCUUGACAUAUACGAGAACGGGCCAGAAAUGGUCAACUCUUUGGACACUCGUAAACAGGUGGUGCAUGGUUGUCGUUAGCUCGUGUCGUGAGAUGUUGGGUUAAGUCCCGCAACGAGCGCAACCCUCGUUCUAUGUUGCCAGCACGUAAUGGUGGGGAACUCAUGGGA
rnacentral:rRNA from 1 species